CUUCCUUUACUUUAAAAAAAUAUAUAUAUAUAUAAAAAAAAGCCCACCAAGUACUGUUCUUGUAACUAAACUGGGUGAGUCAGACCAGACUUACGAUGAGGUGCAGAAUGACCUAUAUACUGAUCCUGGGCCUGAGUGUGUAGGUAUGUAAGACAUCCUUGAAAAUGCAGCCAUGAAAAUAAGCCCUUGCACAUAUACAGUCAAAGCUCAUGUGAUCAGUAACUUUCCCUGCAUAACAUAAGAACAUAACAACCUAAGGAGUCAGCAAGAGGCCGGUAGGAAAAUACAAGGCAGCUCCUGUAAACCUGAGAUCCAAAUAGAAUUGAAAAGGUCCGAGCUAUAGGUCACCCUUUGGCUAAAUGCUAGUGUGUCCCUAUAUGACCUAUGUGGUGCAGUGGUUAGUAUGCCUGGCUAUGAAUCCCCAGGCCUGGGUUUGAAUCACAGUCUGGGCAGUCAGCGUUUAGCCCACCCAGCUGUUCAUCCUCUCUUUCAGGCUAGUUGAUAAAUGGGUACCUGGAGAUUCCUGGGAAGAGUAAACUGUGAUAACCUGGAUGUUACACUGGCCCUGUGUUCUGGAGUACUGGGUCAUGAUCCACCACAGGUACAAGGGGCAAUGGGAUGGGGAUGAGCACCAAGGUCACACACAGCUAUACAGUGUGCUCACAACUUCAUACAGACUCUACAAAUCUAAGUAAACAUGCCCUGCAAGACCUAAAUGAACAUACCCUACAAGUUCUAGAACAUGAAGUUUUUUUUUAACACAUCCUACAAGCCUUGAGCAUACUGCACAAUAUUUAAAUGAAUAUAACCUACAAGAUCUAGUAAAUGAAAACAUCCUAUAAGUCCUAAGCAUACACUAUUAGAUCUAAAUGUUCCUUUUCAAGACAGAUUUAAGUCUGUUUGAGAUUCUGAAACCUCAACUCCUCUCUGAGAUAUCAAUAGCACAAGUCUGUUAGGUAGCAGACCUAGUAAAUGAAUGCAUCCUACAAGACUGAGCAUACCCUACAAGAUCUAAAUGUUCCUUUCAAGCCUGAUACAAGCCUGUUGGAGAUUCUGGAAACCUCAGCUCCUCUCUGAGACAUUAAUAGCACAAGUCUGUUAGGUAGCAGGUCAUUCUUGCAUCAGAUUGUAUUCCAGUGGUUUCAAAGAAAUGCCAAGACUGUAAUAGCUAUGCACCAGACACUCUCACAGAUGAAUAAUGAAAUGCAUGAUUUCGUUCAGUAUUUAUUCAAUAUAAAAAUCAUUAAAUCAUAUAAAACCCUAUUCUGAGACAUCCUCCCACCAUCAUGAGGACCAGAGUAGUCACACAACACCAUGAGAUGAAUCAAAUAAUACAAAAAAAUAGAUUAAGAUAUAAUCAUUCAACAUAGAACUGGGCCAGUGACCAGAAGUGACUUUUCAUUGACUUUGAUGAUUUUAUAUUUGGUAAAGCAUACAGGUAUAAAACUGACUAAGGAUAACACAUAAAGGUAUUUAUAUUAGCCCUUCUUUCCACUGUGACGACUCAAUCAUGCAUCUCAACCCCACUAAUGUCAAGUAAGCAGAUACAACAAAUUCUCACCUGAGAUCAAGUCAUAGCACCAUGCCAGCCAGCAAGAGUAAGGCAGCCAAGUCACCUGGACCAGUCAGAGGCAGGGAGGAGGAGGAGGAGGAGGAAGGGGGAGAGACGAGUGGCCCUCUGCAGGGGAGGAAGGAGAAGCUUAUACAUAAAGGAUCUGUAUGCACAGUUGAGAGAAAUGUUAGGUUGUGGAUGUUAUUUUAUAUCAUAUCAUGUAGAAUAUGUUUGUCAAUUCAUGUCCACCAAAUCCAAUCAGUACAAAUUUCAGUAAUAACCAGUCAGUAAAGUCUUGCCCAAGGUAUUAUAUGAAAUGUUCCCAAACUAAAGACUGAUCACCAUUCUUUACUUUGAUAAUAGUUCAGUGUUAGAGCUUAAAACUUUCCAGAGUGAUUUUCCUCCUAAUACAAAUACUUGGUGGAAUGGUGUCAAUAAAUUAACUGACAAACCGAAACUACACACAAUGUAUACAUGCAAAGGUAUGGGAAAAAUUAGGUUUAUGAGAUUUUGGUUGUCAUCUUAUUUGCCAAUCUCUAGUAAUAAAGUUAGUAAAAUUUCACCAAAGCUUUCCCUUUUGUACUUCAUGCAAAAUUCCUGUCGUGUAAGGUGUUCCCCAUGCUAUGGUUACUGGAAGUGGGCAGCCUUGUCUUUGCCUCUCCAGCACUGAAAAGAUGAGGGCAUGGAAGGUUGUGUGGCCAUGGAAAAAUACUGUUGCCUCCUAAUGGUGCCUUCAAUAUCAGAACAAGACCAGCACAUGCAGUUAAGUAGGUAGUCUUUGUAUCUCUGGCGCUGAAAAGAUUAGGGCAAGGAAGGUCAUGUUGCCUCAAUCAGAACAAGGCCAGCACAUGCAAGUACAUAGGUAGUCUUUGUAUCUCUGGCGCUGAAAAGAUUAGGGCAAGGAAGGUCAUGUGGUCAUAAAAAAAUGUUGCCUCCUUAUGGUGCCUUCACUAUCAGAACAAGACCAGCACAUGCAGUUAAGUAGGUAGUCUUUGUAUAUCUGGUGCUGAAAAGAUUAGGGCAAGGAAGGUCAUGUGGUCAUAAAAAAAUGUUGCCUCCUUAUGGUGCCUCAAUCAGAACAAGGGCAACACAUGCAAGUA